UACGGGGGGUGCGAGCGUUGUCCGGAAUCACUGGGCGUAAAGGGCGCGUAGGUGGUUUGAUAAGGGUGUGGUGAAAGUCCGGGGCUCAACCCCGGAUCUGCCGUGCCGACUGUCAAACUCGAGGGCUGUAGAGGCAGACGGAAUUCCGGGUGUAGCGGUGGAAUGCGUAGAGAUCCGGAGGAACACCGGUGGCGAAGGCGGCCUGCUGGGCAGUUGCUGACACUGAGGCGCGGCAGCGUGGGGAGCAAACAGG
rnacentral:rRNA from 1 species